rnacentral:rRNA from 1 species
UACGUAGGUGGCGAGCGUUGUCCGGAUUUACUGGGCGUAAAGAGCGCGCAGGCGGUCGUGCAAGUCGCGUGUGAAAGCCCCCCGGCUCAACUGGGGAGGGUCACUCGAUACUGAUCGACUCGAAGGCAGAAGAGGGAAGCGGAAUUCCCGGUGUAGUGGUGAAAUGCGUAGAUAUCGGGAGGAACACCAGUGGCGAAGGCGGCUUUCUGGUCUGCUCUUGACGCUGAGGCGCGAAAGCUAGGGUAGCAAACGGG